GUAGGUGGCAAGCGUUGUCCGGAAUUAUUGGGCGUAAAGCGCGCGCAGGCGGUUCUUUAAGUCUGAUGUGAAAGCCCACGGCUCAACCGUGGAGGGUCAUUGGAAACUGGAGAACUUGAGUACAGAGGAGGAAAGCGGAAUUCCACGUGUAGCGGUGAAAUGCGUAGAGAUGUGGAGGAACACCAGUGGCGAAGGCGGCUUUUCUGGUCUGUAACUGACGCUGAGGCGCGAAAGCGUGGGGAGCAAACAGGGAUUAGAUACCCUGGUAGUCCACGCCGUAAACGAUGAGUGCUAAGUGUUAGGGGGUUUCCGCCCCCUUAGUGCUGCAGCUAACGCAUUAAGCACUCCGCCUGGGGAUACGGCCGCAAGGCUG
rnacentral:rRNA from 1 species